CCAAGUUGGGUCAGGUGAUACUUGAUUUCAAGUAUUCCGAUCUGCUUGGUUUGGAGGCUAUUCUUCUCAUUUUCCCUAAAUUCUUCAUUCUUAAUCCCUAAGGACUCUCCCCAUCUUUCUUUUCUCUCAAUCACCUUUCAAAUCUUUUUCAAUUUUCUUUGCAUCUUUCUUCUUUUUGUUUUAUUUUUUUCUUGUUAGUUUCUUAUUUUGUAGGUAUUACACUCUUUUUGCUUGGGGGACACAGGACUUCAUCUACUCCAUCAAUAAACCCAUACACAAUUUAAGUUUCCAUUUUCUCUUUUGUGUUGAAUGUGAUAUUGUGGCCUUUGUUAUUAUUUUUGGUAUAUUGUUCUAGCAUUAGUGUUGAUUGAUUAUGGGAUAUUUGGUUAGUACAUACAUUAUAGUUGGAUUUGUCUAAAAAUUGAUAAACAUGCCUUUUAAAU
rnacentral:lncRNA from 1 species